rnacentral:rRNA from 1 species
UUUAUGGAGAGUUUGAUCCUGGCUCAGGAUGAACGCUGGCGGCGUGCCUAAUACAUGCAAGUCGAGCGAACGGACGAGAAGCUUGCUUCUCUGAUGUUAGCGGCGGACGGGUGAGUAACACGUGGAUAACCUACCUAUAAGACUGGGAUAACUUCGGGAAACCGGAGCUAAUACCGGAUAAUAUUUUGAACCGCAUGGUUCAAAAGUAAAAGACGGUCUUGCUGUCACUUAUAGAUGGAUCCGCGCUGCAUUAGCUAGUUGGUAAGGUAACGGCUUACCAAGGCAACGAUGCAUAGCCGACCUGAGAGGGUGAUCGGCCACACUGGAACUGAGACACGGUCCAGACUCCUACGGGAGGCAGCAGUAGGGAAUCUUCCGCAAUGGGCGAAAGCCUGACGGAGCAACGCCGCGUGAGUGAUGAAGGUCUUCGGAU